CGAAACGGGACGUUGAAUAUUGUAAUUUAAGAAUUCACAAGGUUUCAAUAGACCGUAUCAAUAGAGAACCGUUUCAAGAAUGUGCUAUAAUUCGUUCAAAUAAUCCGACGGUAACAGUUUGGGACAGAACGUGACUCGAUGCAUCUGUGGCGUGAUAGGUGAAAGGUUCAGCAGAUGCUGGUGGUUUCCUCUCUAGGUGUAACGCGAGAAUCCUAGGCAACGCGCGAUCGAAAAGAUCCGCUUCACGGGAUCGAGAACUUCUUUUGUUCGUAUGCAUUCCGUCCGCAUCGUUUCACAAACAGGAUGACAACGAUUACAGCCUCGAACCUGUUCCCAGUUGGAGGAAGUAAUUCAAAUACAAGUUAGAAUUAAAGACAAGCUUUCGAGCGUUCGAAAUGCGCAGGCAACUCGAAUCGCUCGAAAUCCGAGCUAGGUGAAAUUCAUUCUUUCAUAUCGAUCGAUGCGUAGCAGUCGAUGGUUCGUGUAAUUGUUCGUUCUACAAGCGAUCUAAGCAGCCAAUUAUUGCGUAGAAAUCGUUAAAUAUGCACGAAAAGUGAUGAAAGUAGUCUUCACUGUAGAAGACGAUCUCCGUGCACGAGAUGACAGUUUCGAUUAACUUAAUUCGACGCAGUUUCGCUGGAGAUAUUGCUUAAAUAGGUUAAAUGUGGGACGUCUAGACCAAUUAGGAAUCUGUAUCGAACUUUUCGUAGAGAAUCAAAAAUAUAUUUAAUAAUAACGGUUUCGGAUUACGCGCAGUGAUAUAGGUUACCAACUUUCUGGUAAAUUCAGUGAAGCAUAAAAAUAUAGUCACCAGAUGGCACGGCGUUUUGCCACCUUGAAAAAAUUGAAAAUCAACUUUAAAGACCGAACCUUCAAUAAUCAGGUAACGUAGCGGGCGCAAAAAUUGGAAAAGAUUAUGUAGGAAAUUGCUCGUUGUAUGCGUUACUUAAACGUAAGAAUACAAAUGUGGCAUAACCUCAAAAAGAGUACAACUGGUAACCCUAAUAGAAAACCAUAGCCUUUCCAGGGCGCGUGAACGUGCCGUUCACAAUUAUAGAUUGCAUGUCUACGGGUAAUUACAAUUACGCGUAAUUGCACAGCGGGAAUUACAAAAUUUUCAGCGCAAGCUGAGUUUUCACUAAAGUCCGCGAGAACGCGAGAUGUUAUCUAAUUCGAAUAAAAACCGCUUUCUUCUAUUUCAUCGUCGAACACGCUUUUAUUUUCAUAGGAGGAUAAAUGUAGAAUGUGUUUUCAAUCGCGGCUUCAUGUCUGCAAAAGAAAAAUGAAGAAAGAACGUCAGGCCAUGGAUGGGAGACAGAACGGUACCGGCUGGCACCGUGCAGAUAGAAUCUCAAUGGAAUCUAGCUAGAAUCGGUUAUCUAGCACGUUCCCUAGCUGCCGUAUAUGUGCAUCCUUUCAAGGAUAACGUCAACAGGACGCUUAACCUUUCUCGUUCGAUGACGCACUGUCGAUAACAGAAACAAUAAUUAUGUUAUUCAACAAAUUUUUACUUUUCUUUUUUGCCGAUAGGUUUCGUAGUGACCGAACUAAUAGAUGGUUUAUCGUGGACCUCUUGGUAGGCAAAACACGAAUCCAGGAUCACAAAGUGUGCUAUACAGAUUUUGCUUUCGACCGAGAAAAUAAAAUGCACAAGGUUGCGCAAGAGACGAAGCGUCGUUAAUAAUCCUUACGCCAACGACAGGGUUAUUAAUAUAUUUCUCGUAAAUGAUAAAUAUGCAGAAAGAAAAUGAAAGAGGGAGGAGUUGUAUUGCUUUUUUGCAGACAACUAUGACGUUACACACUUCUUUUAUCUGCAGAUUUUUCGAGAAAACAAAGCUGACUAUCAAUGUUUGAAAUGAAACAUUGAUAAAUCAAUAAACAUCAACGUCAUACAAGAAUGUCAUCGCUUUUUAGAUUGCGCCAUCAAUUCAUAAACAUCCUGCAGUUUCAGCUGUCUCUUAUGCAAGUAAAACGAAUGAGGAUACCAAGGAAUUAAGUGCUUUUUUACAACAGAUCUCCAUGACGGGCGAAAGUAUUACAAAUAUUUUCGUUUUACGCGGCUGUCAUUCGAUUUGUGAAUAUUUCAGCAAUCUUGGUCACGGUUCAACAACAAACGUGCCCUCGCAAGCGAACAAAUGGCAUAUCGCCGAUUUAACGUCACAGAGGACGACACGUUUCACAACGAUGAUCGCAAUCUUGUGCGCGUUUCUCCGCAUAGAUUGAGAGAUUUGGAUUUCUUUUCCUCCUCUUUGGCUACAUAACAAAAUUGUGCACCCAGACACCAAUAACAACUGACUGUGCAUUCGGUUCGAAAGCAGACUGUGUGAAUCCACUGUGUCACACUAAUUGCGAAAUAAAUGGAAAUUGUUUGUUGAGAAGAAUGGAACGUAUAAAAUAGGCUAAUGUUAAUUACAAAUUGCUUUAGAAAAUAAUAGUGAUUCCAGAGAACUAACACUUUAAUGCUCUGUAUUAAGUAACUUUCACUUUAUCAUCAUAGCGAUGAUAGAAACAGUACAAUUUAAUUGCUACCAAUGUUUCAAACUAUAAACAGUAUCGAAGCACGUUGCUCGGUACUUUUGAAAAACAUGACAACAGGCGCAAAGGAAAACAAACUGAAUAACAACUAUUAAAGAGAAGCAUCUAUCCUAUUGCAGCAUUGUUUACAUUUUUCUUACAAAUUCUGAAGUUUUUCAGGAUUAACGAUUAAGAAGAAAAUGUCUAAUCUAAAUGUCUACAUAUAGCAGAUAAGUCGGGGGAAGAACGUCGGAUACGGAAGAAUUUCAUAUUUCCAUUUUAUUCGUUACAUCACCUAUCUGUUGCGUAAAUUUUCAUCUUCGACGAUGCAUCAAGCUUUAACAAUUAUAGCCACGCGGUUACUCGUUAGAUAAAAUGAUUCUACGAA